CACCGACUCACUGCCUGCCUCACUCGCUAACUCACUGCCUCACUAACUCACUGCCUCACUCUGUUCUUACCAGAUUCCUCUGGCAGGCAGCGACCGACGGAGGCCAAGGUGGCAGCCGUCGUAGCCAAGGAGAAAUGGAAAACCAAUGUCCCCUCCCUCCCGGAUGUGCUCAAGGCGUGGGUCUCCCCUUUAAAGAACAGGACAUGGUGUCUUUGGCUCCGUCUGUAAAGUUCAACUGGAACACCAGCCAUGGUUCCGGAUGAAGCGUCUCGCCGCUCACUGGUCGACCACCUAGAAAACAAAGGAUUCUUUGUCGUCGGUGAACCGUUGCGCCCCGCGCAUUGUGCAGUGCCCAGCUCUCAGGAGACGGGGCACAGGCCUGAGCACCGGCGUCUGCUGGAGAUGGCAGAGGGUCGGUCGGAGGAAGCUUGCCAUGGAAUCCUAACGGGAGAACGGUUGCCGCAUCAGCAGAUGACGAGGGUCUCCCCUUUAAAGGCAGCCAUCGAGGACGACGAAGGCUGUCCUCAAGUCGGUGGUGGAGCAACGGUGGAAGGGGAUCGAUUUUAAGGACUUUGGAGAACACGAGGGCAGAGGCGUCAUCGCCACCGUGCCGUUCUCCAAGGGGGACGUGAUAUGCGGCUAUCACGGGAAGCUCAUCCCUGAAUCCGAGGGGAAGAGGCUGACGAGGACGACGAAGGCUGUCCUCAAGUCUGACGAAGGCUGUCCUCAAGUCGGUGGGGAAGCUCAUCCCUGAAUCCGAGGGGAAGAGGCUGACGAGGACGACGAAGGCUGUCCUCAAGUCGGUGGUGGAGCAACGGUGGAAGGGGAUCGAUUUUAAGGACUUUGGAGAACACGAGGGCAGAGGCGUCAUCGCCACCGUGCCGUUCUCCAAGGGGGACGUGACAUGCGGCUAUCACGGAAAGCUCAUCUCUGAAUCCGAGGGGAAGAGGCUGAUGGAUGCAAUGCAGGAGGGAGCGAUGAGCUACCUCUUCUUCGUCAGGGGCAGGCUAGGCACCGAGCUGUGCGUCGACUCCCACAACUUCCCCUGCGAGCGCCACCCUGGAAAAGGACGCCUUUGGUAGGCGCAUGAACCACUCGGGCAAGGCGGCCAACGUGAAGCCUGCGGUGUUCCAGUUGAACUUUACAGACGGAGCCAAAGACACUAUGUCCUGUUCUUGGCCCAGAGAAACAUAGCUGUCAACGAAGAGCUCCGUUGGGACUAUGGUGUGAGACGGGAGGUCUUUCGGAGAUGAGGGCAUGGACCUGGCAUGGCUCGGAUGACUGAAACGAUUCUCUUUGGUUCAUUGGGUUUCUCAUUUGUUGUUGCCGGUUAUCGCUGUUCUUGUUGUUUGGUGUCAUGUUUUUAAUAAAUGUUUUUGCCACAAAGGACAACGCCUUGAAUAGACUGACUUUAUUAAUCCCCGAAGGAUGUGAAAUAAUUCAAGUCUUCAUGUUGACAUAGAGUGGGUGCCAGAAAAAGUGAAAAACACGACGGCUCUCGUUUAAGGGCUUAAACGUUGAGCUACUGCAGGAAAAGGGCAUGCAUAAAACGUGCACUGCAUGUGAAACAUUCCGUAAUGAUGUAUGGGACGAUUGCGAUCACCAGACAUGAGGAUGA